AUGGAGCUUUAGACACCAAGGCAUCCCACAUCAAACACCCUUAAACAAGAGACUAAACCAUAGUGGACCCUGCCCUAAUGUCUUUGGUUGGGGCGACCGCGGGGAAUUACAAAACCCCCACGUGGAAUGGGAACACCCCUCCUACAGCUAAGAGCUACAGCUCUAGUAAACAGAAAUUCUGACCAACAAGAUCCGGCAACGCCGAUCAACGGACCG
rnacentral:rRNA from 1 species